GUGGGCGUAGUUCAGUUGGUAGAGCGCUUGAUUGUGGUUCAAGAGGUCGCGGGUCCGAGUCCCGUCGCCCACC
rnacentral:tRNA from 1 species